AAAAAAUAUUCCUUUAAUUCUUGUACAUUGAAAUGAUUUCUCCAGUAGUUUUCUAACUAUUCUCGAAGAGAGCUUUUUCAAGAGCAUGACCCAGGGUGCCAGUGGUAAGUGUGUGCCCUGCUGCAGGGGUUCAGGUGAGUGGUGUGGCUGAUCCCUCGCUGGAGGAGCAGGAGCAGGGCCAGCAGUACCCUGUGCCUCAGGUGCUGGCCUGAGAUUCUCAGUCUGUCUUUAGACUGUGUCUCAGUAGGGAUUUUCUUUCACUGAGGUAUCCUGAGGGUGUAAAUUAUGAAAUUAUCUGAAUUCUGUACGCACUGAAUCGCUCUCCCUAAGCAAAUGUGGUUAGCAGCUGGGGACCGUCAGCAUCCCAUUAUUACAAGUAUGAUCAGAGCUAUCUGUGGAUCUGCCAAGGCUGCUGUUUAUUUUCUCUUCUGUGGGUUUCAGUGGCAGGAGCCUAUAGGAGCCAGUGCCCUUUUCUUUCUGCCCUGUAGCCAUUUUCCAGAGCUGUGAGUCAUGCUCGCAUGGAGGUGCAGCCAAGCACAUGGCCAGAAGUCGUGUGUUUGGCAGCAGCUCGUGUGCAGGCAGGAGCUUAUUAAUGCCAGCUGAAUCCAUGGUGAUAGGAAGCGAGCGUGGCGAUGCUACCCAUGGAAACCAGAGCUGCCGACUGUCACUGCAUCCUGCUCUCAGAUCACUUGUCUUUAUUAAGUCAGCACAAGUCUGCUCCUCUAAUGAAGAAACUUCAGUUUAGAUGGAAAAGAAGAGCAAGAUGCAUGUUUGCGUGCAGCUGGAGCACGGCUACAGUGCUGGAGAAACAUCUGGGUGGAAGACAAAGCACCCAGGAUGACAAGCAAGCAAAUCAACAGGUCUCCAUCAAAAUAGCUGCCUGGACAACUGCCUAGAGAUUUCAUCCUUGCUCAAGUAUUUAUUUUCAGGAAAGAGUGCUGGCACCCAAGACUGAAUGUUUGUCUCCAGCCUCUCUGUCUCUCCCCCUCCUCCUGCGAGUGAGUUGCUGCGAGAACAUUUUGCUGCUUCCUUUGCUUCUGCUGUGCCAAAGAUAAACAGCCCGUCAGCGCGAUGCUGAAAAGGAACAGAGAAAGGGGGCUGGAAGUAGUUUAAUUACCGAGAGUGCUUGUUUUGUGUACGGUGUGAUUGCUUCCUAUGAUACAGUAACUUCUUCUCUUUCCCUGUGCAAGCAUGGUGCUUCUAUUUAUCAGGAUGAAACUGAAGCAGCAAAUUAGAGAGGGAGAGGGAGCAACUGCAUAGCUCUAUUUGUAAGCAAAUCUGGCAGUGUGUAUGAAGGAGCAACAGUUCCUCUUGAAAGCAUGCUAUGGAUUUUCUCCCUGCAGAAUUCCAGCUUCUCAGGCCCUUCGUUUUCCCUUCCUGUUUUUAACUAGCUUUUAAAAUUUGGCCAGGUUUGGAAGAGUUGGAUGCAAUGAUUCCUGUUUUACAGGGGGAAUACAAGAUGUGGGGAAGCUUUUAGCUGUGGAGAUUGGUUGAUGCCGUGUUUUUCAGGACUGAUAAUGUGUUGGGGAGAAAAAUGGGGUGUAGUGGGCAGUGGGGCUGGCCCUGCUCUGGCUCUUGUGGCUCUGGAUCCGUAGAGGAUCAGGCCCCGUCCAUUUGGGAUCUGCUGCUGCACACUGGGACAUCUGUCUCGGUGCAGCAAUGCCACCGAGCGCCAGGAAGGUGCAGCUUGGGCAGGUUCCCGCACAGCACUGGGGCCUCUGGUGGUGGUGGGAAGGGUUCUGUUUACAUUAGGUAGCAUUUCUUUAAUCACCUUUUCUGUUUAAUUUUCUGUGCUUUGUGCUGCCUGCUAGGGAUCGUUAAGCAAUACUCUAGUUAUCGCUGCAUAUCACUUAGUGUGCUUUGCUCUAAUAAGCUUUUGUAAAUAAAACCCGGAGAGAUGAAAAGGCCA
rnacentral:lncRNA from 1 species